GGGUUGCAGGUGGAGCAAAGACGGGUAACAAGUGUGGAGAUGCAAGCAGCGAUGGCGACAUAGGAGCUAUGAUCAAAGGUCAGGAGGGCAAUGAGAUGGCAGGGCUCUGAGGGCUUUGACAAGGAUUGCUAGGUGGUGGCUUAGAGGACCAUUAGUUGGCAGCAGAGGAGGAGAAGAGGAGAGUGGUGUCCUUCACAGCUCCAAUAAAAUCUCAACCAUUGUCUAAGCUUAUGAAUUCGGCCGCUCGAAGCCUCCACCCGAUUGAGACUCCUGCAGGCAUACGUAAAGGAAAGACAGAAAAAAUUAAACAUAGAUUGAUCUUUUUCUCUUUUUUUUGCUUUUUGCUUCCUUUUCUUUUUCAUUUCAUUCUCUUUUUCGGAGAUUUACAGGGAAGGAGAGCACCCUAAGAGAUCAGAGGGAUUUUGGAUUUUUUAGAUUCUGGUUGCAAUAGAUUUGAGAAUUUUUUAUUAGAAGAUUGGAGGGGUUUCUUUCAUAGAUUGAUCUUUUUCUCUUUUUUUUUGCUUUUUGCUUCCUUUUCUUUUUCAUUUCAUUCUCUUUUUCGGAGAUUUACAGGGAAGGAGAGCACCCUAAGAGAUCGGAGGGGUUUUGGGUUUUUUAGAUUCUGGUUGCAAUGGAUUUGAGAAUUUUUUAUUAGAAGAUUGGAGGGGUUUCUUCUAAUUACAAUGGAUUUGUGAUUGUUGAUCGAAAUGAGGAGUUAUGUAAACUGUUCUCAAAAAUCGUGUGGGAUCCGAUCUGAUCCGAGCAAAGUGGGUAUACUUGAUCCGACUCGAUCUAACCUAUAUCCUCUAUUUUAUUUGAUUUGAGAUAGAUAUAGAGUAGAUAUGGAUAUGGAUUUUUUACAUAAUAAAAUGAGUACGGAUAUUGGUUGAUCCAAUCAUAUAUGAUCCAUGGCCAUCCCUAAUCCCGUCAUCCAAACUUUAUCAAGAUCAUAAUGCCAUAUUUUGAAAAACUUUUUCUCAAUCGGUAUUGAUACAUGAUGGGAGAAUAGCUCAUUUUAGCAAUACACAAUAAGAAUAUAAGACUGUAUACAUAUUAUGAUCUUUCUUUUUUAUUACUUUUUUUUUUUUGAUAAAAAUGAAAUAUUUAUGCAAAUCUUGUGUGAAUACAUAUAGAAAGAUCAGAAAAUAAAAUAUUCCUCAAAGACCGACUAGUAAGGCUCAAAUUCGACCAGAGCGUAUCUUCGGAGUACUCUGUUACAAAUGCAGCCGCCCAGUCCACUGCGGUAUUCAUCUUCUGAAAAAUAUAUCUAUAGCCAGUGCUGUAUACCCAAUCAACGAGGCCGUGAUAUCUUGAAGAAAGGCAUGAGCAGCACCUUCCGUCAUGCAUCUGCAAAUUUAAGUAAUCACUAUCGCAGAAUCACCCUUGAUGAUCAGAUAAUCGGCUCGUAGAUCCACCGCAUAUAAGUAAUCCCAGUCUAAGCUGUUCAGAUUUUAUCCCCCUCUUUGUUAAACCAAAAUACCGGCUGUAGUAUAAAUAUAUGUAUUAAAGUCACAAAGCAGCAAGCUGAUAGGGGCGUAGUCCGCAGCAUUGUUAAACCAUUUACAUGAGGACUGCCUCAACGGAGCUAACAGAAAAUGGUCCUUUUCUUCUUUUCGUUGGCUAUUACGUUCAUUAUGUUUGUUCUAUGAUUUAAUAAUGCUAACAAUCAGAUUGCCGGAUUACUCCCCCUCUCGCUUGAACUAUUGUAUCCUUCUUAUCUAAAAUAAUUCCAUAGUUAUAUUCGGAUAGUCACAUGGUUUUUCUUUAGGGAAAUUUCAUGAUUAUUGUUAUUCAAGCCUAACUUGACAACAAUUCAAACUAUUUUCCUCCUUUCCUAAUAUUUAAGCAUGCUCAAAAAGAGUGCCACUGGAUCAAUGGGACUCAAGAUUGCUUGCAAUCAUGGUUGUUAAUAAGUCUCAAAGAUUCACUUGAGGCAUACGGGAUUAUCACCAUUUUCUUUAUGAAUUUUUGCCCAACCAUUUCAAUUUGAGUAGAGAGCACACCAAGUGAGAAGCAAAAGAAAAAACACAUCUGCUUGGCGCGAUUUGAUUUAUUUAAAAUAGAGAUACAAAUAAGUCAAAUUGCUUACAAGCUAAUCGAACUCAAUUUGAAUAUAUAUAUAUAUAUAUAUUAUUAAUAGCUUAAUGGUCGAAUUCAAGUUUGAACUCAAUCUCGAUCAUGGUCCGAGUGAUAUUUGAGUCAAAUCAAAUUGAUCUGAAAUUUCAUCUUUUUUUCAUCAAGUCAAGUUUGAGCUUGAGAUAUUAAAAUUUAAUCGAUUUAAAGUUGAGUUUCAAAUCUUACUAUUUUAAAUUGAAUCAAACUCCAAUGCCUAAUUAUUUGACUCAGCUCGAUUUGAUUUCACCCCUACAUCAAAAAUAUAUAGGAGAAGUGCUAAAUGUAUAAGCUUAUCCCUGGGAUAUGCCUUAUCUCUUGGACAUGCCGCGUGAGUCCAAAACAUGGCAUGUUGAAAGGUCAGCCAUAUAUCUAUGGUUAUUUGUUUCUAAUGCACUAGGUGGAAAAAUUUUGAGGACUCAUACAGAUUAAAAAAUUUAAAUAAUAUUUUUAAAUUAAUCGUUUUGGUAGGAUCCUCCAUUGUCAGCAGGGUUUAGACAGGCACAGCAUGAUUAAAUGUAACUUUGUGAUUGGACUUUACGAUGUCUUGCCCAGCAUGAAGUGUGCCAGGGCUUAAGCACGCAAAUGAAUAUGUGAGGUCCUGCCUAGUACCAAGUACAACACAUCGUGUAACGUUCAGAGGAAGUAGGAUCCAUUCAGGGAGGGGAUAGAGGUAGCCAAGCAAUGGAGACAGGGUGUUUGUCCGACAAAGGAUAAAACUGCCAAACACCUGCGAGAUUCUUUUCGUAUUGGAGCCCAACUCUUUUUAUGUUUGAUUGUCCGAAAUUAGGCGUGACCAAUGACAAGGACCCUUCAUUUGUUUGUCACAAGCUAAAGAAAAAGAAGAUGCAUAAUGCCCUUCGUGUAGUUGCAUUCACAUCACCAAUUUUAUGCAGACUGACUUUAAUCUUCUACCAUUUGCCCAAAUAUUUUCAAGGAUAUCUUCGUUGCCAUAUUGCUAACAUAUUUACGUGCAUUUUUCUUGCUGCGUUGUAUUAUUGUUACUCGUGAUCCAGAGUGUAACCACACGGGAACCGGAAAAAAAAGAGUACUGGUUAUUUUCUUCAUUGACGAAUGGCUUUGUAUGCACUGCAGGAGUAAUGACUUACUGAAAGCUAAAUAGCCGUGAUGAGAUUAGCCAGCGGUCAAGAUUAGACAAGGUGAAGCAUAUCAAUAUAUAUAUUUAAAAACUGUGUCGAAUGAUGACUAGAUUUAGUGAUUACUCCUCUGGCAUCAGGUUCAAAUACAGGGACAAAACUAGCGACGGUGGUCUCUUUAGCACUGCAGAACAAUUUGUGGGGCAAUGUUGGCCAUUUGGAUAGACAAGAACACAGCUGAUAGUAAUAAUUAAAAAAAGGACAGUACCUGCUACUUUAUUAAAGGGGACUAAGUUUGAAGUGAACCGGGGAGUGGAGAGAGCUCGACAGUGGAGGCAGAGCUUGUUACCAUAGACUGUGACCUUCCCUUUGAGAACUUCGUACCUGUGCGACUGAGGACUGAAGGCUGGUCCAUUGUGCAAAUCUAACAUAUCGCAGCAUCAUUCAACAAAUAGGCCUCCCCUUUUUCCUUUUUCCUCUUUUCCUUUUUUUUCCCUGAUGAACAACAAAUAGGCCUCCCUCAAUCAACCCCCUUCCCACCAAAUUGGCCUGGACCACAUUUUGCUGGAUAAAUGCUACCUGUCACCGUUAUUCACUGCUUGUGAGGGAUGCUAAUAGCCAUCCAUUUUGGUAAGCUUGCUUAUCAUAUAACAGAGCGCUAUGUUAGCUCUUUGAUUCAAAUGGUUUGCCAUUAUGUUUUCAAGAAUGCUAUGCCUACACCAUCAGCUAUAUCAUCUCUGACAUUGAGCACGUUGCUCCCACAGCACCACAAUCAAGCUACCUUAAUAGUUAAAUGGAUGCAUUGCCAAAGCACAAAGAUCUAUGGGUAAAUCUAAAAAUAAAUAUAGUUUUUUUAUGUAUGAUUACUAUGAGUUUUAUAUUCAAGUCCUUGCCAAUGGAUGGCAACUUUGGAUAAAAUAGGUUGAGACAUGAACAAGCUGACUCUACCAUAAAAAUGUAGUCGGGAAAGAAUACUCAAUCGUUUCACCUGGCAAUUAAAUAAAUGACUUCAUAAGCAGAUGAGCUUCGAUGAUAAAUUCCAUAAAUGUCACAGUUAGGCCUACUCCUUGUUUUGAUAAAAGCUCGCCAAAAUCAUCUUCUCGCACUUACAAAUAAGAUCUACUCAAAUUGUGACCUGGAAACCACAGUCAAAUUCUGCUUCAUAGUACAAAGACAAUUUGAUCAGUCAUAGCGCCAAACAUUUAUGUUUUCCUUGUACAUUUACAUAUGAGAUACUAUCAAAUUCCUACUGGCAUCUUCCUCCAUGAUUCCCACAAACACAGAAGAUCAAAAGAGGAAAUGACGAAGAUAACUGGAAAAAGAUUGAAAUCAAGGAAAGGAGGGGGGGAAAAAAAAAAGAUCCACUCUAAUGCAUCUUUCAAAGCUCACCGAAAAGAUGUUCAAUGCACAACCCAGAUAUAAAAGACCCUCUUCUUUCCAACUAACACUAGGUUGCUGUUCUCUUCCUGCUGACCGCUCCCAGCUGGAGAAAAAGGAAGGAAAAUGCUUUAGUCAUUACAGUGAAAUGUAAGACCAAAUAUAACUGCAAACUUCUAAGAGAAACCUCCAAUCACCCAAUAACAAAACUUGCACAAAGAUACCCACUUCAGUGAAAAAGAGGCAACUAGAGAAUGGACUUACAGAAGACGCAGAAAGCUCAGAACUCUUCAGCACACGCAACCUCUUGGCUGUGGAGACAAACAUGCUGCAAGCACCAAAGGGAAAAAGAAUAUAAAGAUAGAGAACCUCUGUAGGCAUUUGGACUUUCAUAAAUAAACAGUUGAUAGAACUUUACACCGCACGGUCACGUACUUGGCUCAAUUUUAACAACUGUAAGAAAAACGAUCAAGUCAUAAAGUAAAUGGUGAUUUUCACAACAAACAUUUAUUUCAUUUUCUUUUCUUUUCUUUUCUUUUUUUUGAGUGAAAACCUUGAGGAUAAUCACAGGGUGAAAAUUUCAAACAAGUUUCUCAAGGCUUGUUCUAUUGUUUGACCAUAGAUUUUUGAAUUUUUUAGAAGAUAGGAGUGUAAUAUUAGAAUUUCGAUUUCCAGUGACAGUUCAACAAAGACAAAAUGAUUCAAGCUAUGUAAAGGGAAAGGUUUCAAUUAAAGAUGCUAAGAAAGCUAUAUAACAAAUGUAUUUCUUUGACUACCACAUGUUACAAGAUUAUAAAACCAAAAGUUACUGAAAUAUAUUUUAAUUUAUAAUAUUGUUUGAUCCAAAUGUGCAGGCACUAUGGAUGAAUGGCUUGCAUGGAUUCUUGCACCAAAUUAGAUCCCCUGGAAUAAGAAAUAGAAGUAAUACCAAACUGAUGAAAAACUUACUCCCAAGGAACAUCCCCCACCAGCAUCCUGUCACCUUCAUCAUCUUCAUAAACCAAAGUAUAUUCGCCACUUCCAUCUAGUAAACCUGUGAUUGCUUGCUUUUCUUCAGGAUUCUUCUGAGUUCCAGCAGUAAGAGGAUCCCUUUGAGCUAAGCAAAUUUAAGUCAAAGUACAAAAAAAAAAACUCAGGUUAGCAAUGCACUUACAAGGCCCAAUGAGCCCAAAACUAGCAAGGUGGUCAAUGUAAAGGCGGAGAGCAUAAUCUACAAAUUAUUACUCCACGUUGCAAUAAUUACAUGUGGAAGGUCUCAAGGUUAUCAUCAACUUCCUUUAAUAUAAAUCAUAAGCAGAGUCAUCACUCCACAUUUUACCCUUUUCCUAUACCAUAUUGUAAUAUAUAGAACAGGUAGGAGCUCUGGUAUGUUAAAAUUAUAAGAGACAUCUAAUGUAAAUUUAGAACCCAAUAUAAUUUUGGCACGGCAUGAAGCAUGUUAUUUGAUUGGAUUGCUUUUUGUUGUUAUGCUUCCUCCACGAUGGAUAUUAGGUAAUAUACCUGCAAGAAGGCCCUGAAAGAGUUCAUCUACAACCAAAGAGAGCUUCUCAUAGCUAUCAUAGGCCUUCAAAUCUACUUUCCUUCCUAUGGGUAUCCCGUCCAUGUUGAUUUUCACAAACAAGCCUUUCCUACCAUUCUUGAACUUAACUGCUGUUUCCGGUCCUCCAUUCUGUGAUUCAAGGGAAGGUUUGGAAAUGCUUGCAAGAUUCCUUCUGAAAGAACGAAUAGGAGGCCACCCAACAACUGGGGUUGGGGCAGUCCUGCUUUCACAAACAAACAACAUAGGAAAAAAGGAUAGCAUUUAAGUAGCUGAAUAAAACAUAAAUGGGCUAAUCUAUAUUUUCAUGAACAAAAGAGCAACUCUGAAAAAUUGCACAAUUGUAACAAAUCUCACAAUAGCUGUUGCAGUUUGAAAGAAAUAGUAAGGCCAGAUUGUCGAAAUAAAGUUUAGCUAGAAUAUAAACAAAAUGAUCCCAGAAAAGGCAGUACUCAAAUUUCCUUCUUGUUCAGCAAGUAUACAAUCAUCUGAAAACCAGAUUAGAAAGGAUUUUUUCAAAAAAAAAAAAAGUAGGCAGGUGUGUUAAUAACUGUGAAGCUACAUAAUUAGAUAUUAUUAAAAAUCAAAAUUGCGAAUACAAGUCAUAGAUCUAAGAGGAAGCAUCCAAAGGUGGCUCAGUUGAUAGUAAUUUGUGGCCUGCAUAGAAAAAGCAGGUGAGCAUUUUGCCAUAAGAAACAACAGAAAACUAAAAACAAAGCAUUUUCAAAUAAAAAUGAUGAUAUAAAUAGCAAUAGGUUAUAAAAGUCUCUUUUCUAACUUUUAUUUCAAAGACUACAAACUUCUUAUGACCAUAUCUUUUCUGAAAACCGAGUGAAUCUAACUUUUUUUGAAAAAUGAAUGAUUCUUAAUAUUUGCAAACUUCUUUUUCCCUAUUCUGUUCCGGGCAUCCUCUCAGAAAAUAGAGUGUUUAUUUUAUAAAAAAUAGAUAAAUUCUCAUUCCAUUCAUAACAAGAGCCAUGUGCUGUAGUUUUACUAAAAACCGGCACAAUAGCUGAAGGGAUGUUUUCUUCUCCUUUGCUUAAUAGCUAACAAGAAAUAGCAAUUCUAGGUAUGAGAUGUACAAAAGGAGAUCACGAAAAUGGAAUUUUUCUAACACAUGCUACACAGAGAAACUACAUGAGAACCAAGGGUCUUUUUAAUUUUAAAAUACCCAAGAUGGAUUGUAAAAGGAGUUAAAAAUAAAAAGAGACAUUAAAAAGGAAGUUUUUACUUCGAUAAUUGUAUUUGCAAAUGGAACAAUAUCGUUUAAUUGGAGAGGAAAGACAUGAUUUAGAGCUUUAUCAUUACUACUUACUAGAGAGGCUGCUAAAAAAUAAAAGUAAAUAUAAUAAAUAGAAACACCUAAACUAAUUUUCUGUAAUUUAGGUAAUAAAAAUAUCCUACUGCAGAGCAUACAGCAGCUGCAAGCAAAUUUACUUAGCAUAACAUAUGUUAAAUGUCAUUAUAUAUGAGCAGCAAACAAACUGACUAAAUAGGAGAAAUAAGAGUUCCUGAAGUUAAUAUAAGAAACAAUGUAGCAACAAUAGCAUAGUUUCCACCCUCAAUCUCCCUGUCCCCAAGCUCAAGCUAAAAACAAGCCAGACAUGGGAAAGCUUUAAAUGUAAUAACUCUAAACUUGUGGCACACCUAAGAAAGAAAGGAACAUGACCAAGAUACAGGACACCUCCAAAAGCCGGUCAUCCAAAGAAGUAAACAGUGACCAACAGGAUUCACAGUGCACCAGGCUCCCGCGCUUUGGAUCCGGGAGGGUCAGAUGUACACAGUAGGGAGGUUGUUCCCGUGACACCCAGGUCCCAAUAGAGCAAACUUAGCUCUCUAAACUGUGACCCACAAGUUGCCUUUAAAAAAAGAAAAGCUUAAGGGCAGAAGACUAUGAUUACUACCUUGUCUGAGAGCUGUUGUUGGCUCCAGCUCCAUCACCACAAGGAGCAGCAGCCGAACCAUGUGCCGCUGGAGACCCACAAGCCUUUUUCUCAAGGCUCUGCUGUUCUGCCCUCCCAUUUGUCUUCUGUGAUAAUUCCUUCCCUUUAGCCUGCAACUGGAGAAAGCCAGGCUGCUGCUGUUGCUGCUGCUGAAAAACUAGUGAGAAACAGGAAGAAGAAGAAGAGAUCAACGGUCAAGAAAAACAUGGAACGAAGAAGAACCAACCGCUAAAACUUCUUGUCUAUUAGCAUACCUUCUGUUUUGGACUCAACCGUGUCUAGAAAUCCUCUUUUGGCUCCAACAGAAGAAGGAUUAGUGCCUAUGGUUUUAGAAACCUUGGAGUAGUGACCAAGGGAUAGAGCAGACUCAAUAGAGUGCUCUUCUCUCUUCUCCUUAACUGAUGACCAGUCUUCAUCUCCAGGGAGGCCAAGUCUCAGCUCAAGCUUUUUCUCUUCAGAGACUCCAAAGCAUUUUCCUCCUACACCCACAUCCUUGACCAUCCAAUCUCUCUCAUUUGGAAUGAGAUCGAGCAGCUGCGGACGUCCUUCUCCUUUCCUAAAAUCCUCUUCCAUGACUCUCUUCUGCAUUUUUUUCUUUAGUUGAUGGAAACUCUCUUCUGGACAAUGGACGAAAGACUAGGAGAAAAGAAGAGAAACUUUCUCUGUUUUAGUCCUCACAGAGGAAGGGAAGAAAAAAAGAUAGCAACUGUCGUGAGGAAACACCGACUGGGGAUAUAAACACAAAAAAUAAUAGAUUAUAACAAAAGAAAACCAGGAGAAAAGAGCAUGAACUGAAGGAAGGGAGACAGAGGAAAGUGUUUCAAGUAUCGUCCAAGAAGAAAAGACCAAGAAAAGAAAAAAAAUCAGAGAAUGCUGGCAGAGCAAGAGGAUACCAAUGGAACUCGUUUCCAAGCACCUCACAACCAAGGAGCCCUGAGAAAACCUUCUCAAACGACGACCCAAUCCAAAAGGACAAAAAACAUAUAUAUAUAUAUCCUCUGAACCAAAAUAAGAAAAAAGUGGUCUCCCUUUUACUUUCUCCACAGCAAAGACCGUGCUCCGUCCCCCAAAACUCUCAACCCCAGGCAACAAAAUCGAACACCCACAUGGCAAACCAGCAUUAUUGACCCCCGGAACUCUCAAAAUACGAUCUUUGAAAGGCCUCCGGCUUUUGAUUCGAUUUGUUCUACUUAAUGCACUGUUUUCCGUGCUCUUUUUCUUUUUUCUGUCUCUCUUAUCCUCGUCGCAGAGGUUGAGAUCAGAAAGGGAAUAAUAGCAGAGGAAGCGCAGGAGAUUCCAUGGCUGAAACGAGGCCGGAAAAGGGAAUGAGAGCCUCGGUCACGCAAGUGUCGGACAGCGGGAGCAGCUCGGGAGAGGCGUGUUUGGGUGACACCAGCACGCUCACCCAAGCCCAACGAUGGAGGUGUGAGCGUGUUACCCUCGCUUCCACUCUUUUAUUGGAGGAAAAAGUGCUCCAUCAGAAUAACUCAUGGCACAUUAAUUAAUCCUAAACUAAAGGCAGGUUAGUUUAUCAUAGUCAUGCGAGCCUUGUACGCCAAUUUGGUCCCUGUUAGCUCCAACAACCAUCAAGCUUGUUGGAUAUCUAGGAUAUUGGGUUACGACUAGCCUCUACUGCAGGCUGUUGUCCAUGGACCUAUUUUUCCAGCCAACUAGCUUCAGUAAAAAAAAUAUGGCAGUAACGAUGGUCCAACGGGAAUCAUUUGAUUUCGGAGAUUUCAUCUAGCUUUAUGUCAUGGACAAGUCAAUACCUUCAUCAUUUAAUCGGUGUUGCAAAUUGGUCACUUUAUGCCACAAUAGUCUCGAUAUAUAUCAUUAAGUGGCUGAGGCAUCAAAGCUAACCAUCCAUACCUCGAUUCAGUUGGGCUGACUCGAGCUGAUGUUAAACUCCCUUUUAAAUUACUGAUCCGGAUGCUGACAGCCGAGAGCUGGAAACAAAUCAUCUCAUUGGUAAGUGAGAUCUUAUAUAGGAUGUGUUAGUACAUGAAUGUUGUAGGAGAUAGGAUUAGAUAAGCUCAACACCUAUAAUUUAUUCGACAUUGAACUAUUGCAGCUAAUAAAUUGUGCUUAUUUUUUUUGUAAAGCAAGGAAAGGUAAUAAAUGAGUCUUCUCGGUAUUAGUUAAUGUUUAAGAAUAAUCUAAUAGACUAAUGGGAGGAAGGGAAGGGGAAGGGAUGCGGUGGAGAAGAUUCGCAUGAUCCGGCUGUGGCAUCAGACAUGCACAUCCCAUGAUCUUGUCUGCCCACCUCUCAUGCCGAGAGCUUUGGUUUCCGAGACGCCUUCUUGGAAAAAGAACGGCACUAAAGGUAUUCUGGUCGCUAGACACCACUUUUUCUUCCAAUGCAGGGCUCUAGAAAGUGUUCUGGGUGGCGAAAUUCCCCUAUUAGAGAAAGAAUACUAUUCCACAAGUGUUUUAAGCAUAUAAUUAAGAUUCGUGCAACUUAGCAGAAUGCUAUCUCUACCUGAUGUGCUGGUUUGCUGGGGUUCAUGGACCCAAGUGGACAGAGCAAAUCUCGGAGCAUAUGCGCGGUGGAUAACGUGUAAUCGGGAAUUGGCGAAAUAAAAGGGGUAAUAUGGCGUGUUACCACCGUGGGAUUUGGCGUGGUCCAUUGUACCUGAUCAAAGUCAUUUUGCGUCCUCUCCGUUUUUUGGUCUCUCAAGAGGAAACUUCCUCGUACCGCGGUUGGCUAUCAUGGACACCGGUCCAACCGCAGCAAAAUCGACUGCAGUGGUUGGACCGGACGCUGCGAUCAACGAUCAACUCGGUUGGUCGAUUUUGGGUUGAGUCCAUGGGAGAAAUUAUUGAUCGAUCGGAUCCAGUGGACCGGUCGAAAUCUCAUGUACGGUGGAUAACAGGUUGAAUCUCAGUUUUGAUUUUGAUAGUUUAAAUAAAAGAGGGGUAAUGUGGCCAUUGGACUGGUCUACUGCCUCGGAUCCAUCUAAUAAUUUCUCAUUCCACGGAUCGCAGUGGAACAGAGAAUGCUGUCUUGCAGCGAAUAAUAUAUCGGCAAGUGUCCAUAUAUAUCAGCCUUUUUUGAGUGGGCCCGCGCCCGUAUCGCGUGGGUGGCUGGCAACCCCGCAUCCGACCACUCUCGACUUUUCUAGGUUGGCGAAGGCAUCAUUCCUCUGCGGCUACUCGCGGGUAUAUCUCGUGAGAAAUUAAAGAUAUCGAUUGCCGAGUCAUUGUGUCGUAAUUGAAGAUUCCUUGUGUGCAUCCAUCCGCGCGUAUGCCCACACAAGCAAAAAUAUAUUGGAAAACGCUAGAAAUGCUGAUCGUCCAAAAUGUGCAGUUACUGAAUUAACCUUAUUUGUAAUAGGAUUGUAAAGAUGUUUAGCAUUUAUAUAAGACAGUGUUCGCCACCAAUACAAAGAGCCUGUGACCAACAAACAAAAAAGAUAAAUGUUUAAUGAGCUGCAAACGCAUUCAAUUUAAGUUAAAAGAAGUUCUAACUUCAUAUCAGAUGGCUAGACAACAAAAAUAAUACCGUUUCUUGGAACAUUUUUUAUGACUUUUUUUUACAGCACUUAAUAGAAUAGCCCUAUAUAUAUUCGGUUAUGUUUCCAAUUUAUGUCCUUAUUCAUAUUGUUUUGUACUCCAUUUUUGUUCUCUGUUGAUUAUCAGGUCAUAUGUUAGUUUUUUUGGAUAACUGUAAAUUCAUUUUGACUUACAUAGGUUUGNNNNNNNNNNNNNNNNNNNNAAAAGAUAAAUGUUUAAUGAGCUGCAAACACAUUCAAUUUAAGUUAAAAGAAGUUCUAACUUCAUAUCAGAUGGCUAGACAACAAAAAUAAUACCGUUUCUUGGAACAUUUUUUAUGGCUUUUUUUUUACAGCACUUAAUAGAAUAGCCCUAUAUAUAUUCGGUUAUGAAAAAGAGAUCCAUCCAUCAGUUCUGCAAGUUUGGGCCUCUAGGUUUAUGUUUCCAAUUUAUGUCCUUAUUCAUAUUGUUUCGUACUCCACUUUUGUUCUCUGUUGAUUAUCAGGUCAUAUGUUAGUUUUUUUGGAUAACUGUAAAUUCAUUUUGACUUACAUAGGUUUGUACUGAACAUUGCUUCUUAUCGUUAAAUUAAUACAGCUUCGACCCUCUUCUUAACCAAAAAAAAAAAAAGAGAUCCAUCUAGAUAGUAAAUACUCAAACUCAUGUAAAUGAAAAUUAAAUAAAUAUCUACAUGAGAUAUCAAGAAAAUGCAUGUCUCGUCCACAUAAUUAUGGUCCAGACUAAUGCUAGCAAUUCAUGCAUGCAUGAAUGCAAAUAGAUCUUCCAUCUGCACGCCAGCAUUAUUUAUUUUUUCUUUGAUUGCCAGGCUAGCUGCUGGUUACCAUCUCUUUUGUUUCAGCAGUGCUGGGCUUAUGUUCUAUAAUGCAGACAGUACUCUUUAUUAAAAACCUAUGGGUGAUCAUUUUAUCAAAAGAUUAAAAAAUAAUAAUAAAAAAAAACAAACACAUCCAUGUUUCCGCUUUCGGUGCAUGGCUACAUUGCCUGUCCACCUGCACUAUUGACCCAGCGGCCGAAUAGAAUAUUUUGAUGCAUGCAUCCAGAUCAUGACCUCCCUCCACAAAGGAAGUGUUGAUACCUGGCCUAGCCGUAUGUCUCCACCGAUACAGCCGUAUGGUCUCAGCACUCUUGUCACAGCCAUCGCGUGCAAGCGUUUCGUGAGGCCCGCACAGCUGGACAAGUGGUAAGGUGGAUGAGAACCACAAAACGAUUGGGUGAUUCAUUCAUCCAUGAUGCAGCAAUCCCUUUUCAUGUCCUUUCUAGUAAUAUUAUUGGAGGCAUUCCACUUGCAAAAGCUUGCCUCAUUUUUGCUAACUUAAUCAGUGACUUGCAGGAGAUAUUUGGUUGGGAUAAUUAAGAUCUAAAAUGAAAAAUCAGAAUGAAUGAUUCUCAUUCCAACUAUUUGACUGGGGAGAAUUUCAUUCCGAUUACAUUUCAGAGAGGAAUGAAAAUGAUCCAUUCUUUUCGUAACCAAAUCUAAACUCAUCCCAAUGGAGUCAAUCUCAUUCCAGUGGAAUGAUAUAAAAAAAAAUCACGGUGACGAAUCCCAUGACAAUAAGAUCGCUCUUUUGGACAGUGAUAAAAAGGUGGAGGUGGUGGCUGGUGGCGAGACUUGCAACGGAAUCGGGAGAGGGGUGGAAGCACGGUUGAGGGGUGGAGCCCGACAAAAAUGAGCUCGUCGGGGGAGAGGCGGCUGUUGAAGAGGCCAUUGAAGGGAUGGCGGCUGCGGCUGCAUUGGAGCUGAGGCCGCUGUCAAAGGAGAGGCCCUUCUCGAGGUAGAGGGAGAGGCCGACAGAGCGGACAUCGAGGGCCUGCAUGGCAGCUAUGCUGGUGAUGCCGGCACAGUUCCAAAGGGGGUCACGGCUGAGCUUGGCGGUGGAGGCAGCGAUGCCAGAGAUAAAGAGAGUUUCGGCUAGAACGGCGGGGUCGAUCGUGAUAGUGAUGGUGUCAUCGAUGCCGUCGAUGGCGCAGCCUAGGAAGUCAAAAUCAGGGCCGAGGUUGGCGACAAUAGCGGGGCGAAGGCGGUGAUGGAGCAAAAGGCUGGGGAGAGGUUGUAGGGGGCUGAGGAGAGGUCGUCGGGGGCUAGGGUUUUGGAUGAAGUUUUAAAAAUCAGACGGAGAAGAAGCGAUGAAGAGGAGAGGGGGCGGCGGUGGAGGGGGUGGGGAGGUGUAGGAGGCACCUUGGGUCGGAGAGGAGAGGCAAGGGGGGCUGGUGGCACCAGAGUCAAGGGAGGGGAGGAGAGGGGGUUUGGUGGCACCGGAGCUAGGAGAGGAGAGGGGAGGAGGUUUUGUGGUCGUGCGGAGCUAGGUGCAAUGCGAACGGCAGGUGCAACAUGGAUGGCGGUGGGGUGGGGCCACGGCGGGGGCAGUGUGGUCACGGGAGGAGGGGGGUCUACGGUCGAGAAGAAGAAGCGCGGGGGGAGGCGUGCCUUCCUUCCUUCACCUUUCUUCUUCUUUUUUUUCUUUUCAUUUUCUUUUCUAUUUUUCUAUUUUUCUUUCACUUUCUUUUCUAUUUUUCAUAAAAUUAUUUAUAUUUUAUAUUUUAGGUCAUAAAAUAUUUCAUCUCUUAUUAUUAUAUUUAAUUUUUAUUUAAUAUCAAUUUUUAAAAUAAUUAAUUUUUAAAAAUUUUAAUUAAGAAUAAAAAUAAAAUUUUGAGUUGACUCUGAUUCCUAUCUUUAUAUGAACCAAGCAACAACAAUGGGAAUCAUCCAUUCUGAUUUCGAUUCCAAUCAUGAAUCAGACGCUUUGGAGAAUUAUGCCAUUUCAAUUCUGAUUCCAAUCCAUUCCAAUUUUCAUUCUGAUUCUAAUUCCUAUCGUGAACCAAACACCUCCGUAAAGAUGUGGCCUUCCUGAAUGGGAUUAGGAGGAAUUGUCGAUACACUAUGGUUGCUCCUAGCUGGGUCCCCGAAUUACGGAGAGUUUCAGCUCUGUGGCUUGGCCGGCACUCAAAUGGUGGCCUAAGGCCAGACUCAUUGUAGCUUAAGAUUUUUUUUUCCUUCAUAAGGAUAAUUUGUAUCAAUAACUGAAUCCAAGGAUGAAAAAUAACUCAUCAAUGAUCGAAACUCUAGACAAUUUUUCUUGUUUGUAUUCAACAAAAAUAUAGUGAUUAAAAUAUGUAUACAUUGAUAUAAGAGAAAGAAAGAUCUUGUUGAGAAUGUUGACUGAUAUGCAGUGAGUGAGUGUGUUGUUGAAACCCGAUACCGCUCUGAUACCAUAUUGAAAGAUCGACUUUCUCUGAUAUGGAUCUGAGGAGACCAGCGAUGGAUCUCUCUCUGCAAGAGUCCACAAUGGUCCAGACUCUUUAGGGAUAGUAACCAUCAAGCCCUAGAUUUGAGGCAUCAUUCUAGAUACCGCGCACCCCCUUCUAAAGAAAGGGGUGCGUGUGAUGCCUUGGGCGACAUGCAAAAUCAGGAAGAGAGACAGAGAGAAGGAAGAAAGAGUAUCUUUGAUUCUACUAUCAAUAUAGGGUUACCAUGUAUACAUAUAUAUACCCAUAUACAUGAACCAAAACCCUAACCCAAAACUCCAUUGGCUAACUCAUAUAUGAAGCACUCAUCCAAGCCCAAGUUUUGCAUGCUCUCAUUCUUUGCACUUAAUCCUAGUCCAAAUCCUUGGUUAGCCCCUUUAAGAUCUCUCAAACCAUGCCUUAAACCUCUAGGAUCAAAUCCAACUCGAAUCUCAAAUAGAAAAUCCGCACAAUUCUAUCCAUAAAACUGAGCUGACUCGAUCUCAGACUGAGCUGACUCAAUCUCAUACUGUGACUGAAUCGACUCAAACCAGAAUUGAGUCGACUCACCUGCAUGCCAGCCAUAGAUUUUCAAAAUCUGUCUUUCUGUUUGGCUACUUUCUCUAGACUUAGUCGAUUUAGUCUCAGUCCGAAUCGACUAAAACCUAGAAACUACUUUUUCCCUGCUGUCUUCAUCAUUGGCAUUGGUUCCUUGCUCCAUCUUGUAUCCUCAAGUCUUUGGAGCACCAACCAAGCUCCUCAAAGUCCUCAAUAUCUGGACCUCAAGCCCAUGGAGAGCUACAUGCCUCCACCCUAGGACCACUCUUAUCCUAGCCCUUAGGACCAUACCUGUCCUAGUCUCCCAAACAAAUAUCCUGACUCCUUUCGUGGCUUUCUAAAGCUUGAGAGCACCAUACCAACUCCUACAAUCUCCAUCUUGGUACCCCCAAGUCUUGGCAAACCUGAUAAUAUCCUCCUGCAUAAUUCAACUGUCGCUGUAUAUCCUAACAACCCCUUAUGCAAACAUCUUUGCCACCGUCAAUCUUCUUCAGCUUCUGAGCUCCCUUGGAGAUCUUUGGGAUGAUCGUCUCUAUAGUUGAAGAUCUUUGCUUGCUUUUUGACACCAUCUUGGAUCUUAUUGUAGGCUUCCUUCUGCUUGGCAGCUGCAUCACUUGCCUUGGAUUUUUUUUAGAGAGACUGCAGCAUUCCUAUGCCGAUACUCGCUGCAACUAAUGUUUCACCUAAUACAGUCUCCUCAGAGGCAUGCCUCUCCAUCUGUACACUUAGCUUCACAUGGCUCUGUGCAAAACAGACAUUGGUGCUGGGAUAUUGCUCUUUCUUUUGCAUCUCUUCACUCUGAACUCGUGCCAAAACACCCUCUCCACUUGUGAAGCUAUCUCUAUCUGAUGCUCUAUCUGAAUCUGAAGUCCAUAUAAUACUGUAGAAGUCAAUCUUGUAUCCGAGGCCAACCACCCAAUAUGGUCCUCUUGGGCCUGCUACUGCACCUCGAUCACCAUCGCUGCUCCUUCAGACUCAUCACACUCACGGAUCCCUUCGAAGCCGUUUCAAACCCUCCGCAUCCCGCGGGCUCCUCUGAAACCAACAAAAGCUCAUCCAACUCUUCUAAUUCAACAACUGAAAUUAGAAAACUGAGUCUUUCCUUUCUGCACCUGCACCAACCGUUACUUCAAUUUUUUCUGGAGGGACUGUAGCUCAAACCCUGUCUAAGCUUAGACCUAUCUAUCUCACCCGAAGCUCGUCAUAGCCUCCUCAAAGGUAUCCAGAUCUUUUCUUGCUACAAAUGAACCAUUUCACAUGUCUUUCCAAAGCCACGGCUCUCCAGUGCCCGCACAUCCCGCAUGAAAUCAUAUUGUGCAUCACCGCCACUGGUGCUGGAAUUUGGCUCCAUCUCUGCACCCUUUGGCUCUAAAUCUAUACCAAACCAUCCUCCAUCGAAAUGACAACUCCUCCUAGUGCUCCUGUAGAAAAUAAACUCUGAACCAAGGUUAGCUCCUCAACACAACCUUGUUGAGCCUCCUACUGAACCUCAACCACCAUUGAUGCCAUUUCGGAUCCUCCGCACUCCAUGGACCCCUCCGAAACUCACAAGAGAAACUCACCAUCCUCUGAACCAGCAGCGAUGCUCUGAGAAUCAAAUUCUUUACUUUCUCCAUUCACCUCCCAGGCUCCCGAUUAGUCGAACUACUGAAUGUACCCAAACUACUUUUCCAGUCUUUCUGCAUCCGAAGACUGAAUAGUUGCUUCUUCAUCUCCACCUCGACAACAAUCCCUUGGAUGAUCUCUCCUCCAACAUGUCAAAUCUAUCUCUUGUUGUCCAUCUUCCCUAAAGAACUUCAUCGCCUAACCGUCACACCCUCCAACCUUCUUCCUCCAAGGUCGGAUCCAACCGAAGUUGGAUCAAAAAAUCUACCAUCCAAACCUUCCAUCCCGAGAAGCAUUAAUUCCCAUCAAGCCUCUCAACCUUCACCUUCAACCUGCUACUCCUGGUUGGCCAAACCACAGCAAAAAAUGAAGAUAGUUCUGAGGCAUACUGUUAAAUAGAUUUGCAAAUUUCUGAUUCAUCCUGUAUGACUUCUUCCUCAUUUUCAUGCUUCACCAGACUCUGAUACCAUAUUGUUGGACCUUAGCCCCCAACCAACUUUUCAAAAGAUAAUUGCCUAAGGGAAAGUAGGAUUUAUUAGUCUUUAUUAACUGCACAGAACUUCGCAUCCUUGAGUUGACCCACAUCAAACCAGAUCAUCCUCAUGCGGUAGGCCGGAUGGUCAAUCUCAUUUAAUCCUACCAACCCACAAGACUUGUUGCUACAUUAUCAGCCACCUUUUGACUAUUAUCAGCCAUCCUCUGGCUAGCAACCCCUCCCUAGAUCCCACCGGGUGUGCGCUGGUAUAUGGUCAAUAAUCUCCCCCCUCCCAACAACACUCAGGGGGUCUGUUAAGUUUCGAGUCUGCAACCUCGCUCUGAUACCAUGUUGAAAUUCGAUACCACUCUGAUACCAUAUUGAAGGACCGUCUUUCUCCCACGUGGACCUGAGGAGACCAGCGAUGGAUCCCUCUUUCCAAGAGUCCAUGACGAUUCAGACUUUUUAGAGACAGCAACCAUCAAGUUUUAGAUUUGAGGAAUCAUUCUAGAUACCGUGCGCCCUCCUUCUAGGGAAGUUGGCGCGCAUGAUGCCUUAGGCAACGUGCAAAACCAAGGAGAGAGAUAGAGAGAUAAGGAAGAAAGAGCACCUUUGAUUCCACUAUCAAUUUAGGAUUACAAUGUACACAUAUAUACUCAUAUAUAUGGACCAAAAUCCUAGCCCAAAACUUCCUCGGCUAACCCAUAUAUGAAAGCACUCACCCAAGCCCAAAUCUUGCAUGCUCUCAUCCUUUAAAUCUAAUCUCAGUCUAAAUCCUUAGUUAGUCCUCUUAAGAUCUAUCAAGUCAGGCUUUCAGAUCCCUAGGAUCAAACCCACCCUAAUCCCAAAUAGAAAAUUCAUAUAGUUCUGCCCGCAAAACUGAGCUGACUCAAUCUCAUAUUGAACUGACUCAGUUACGGUGACUGCGUCAACUCAAACUAGAACUGAGUCAAUCACCUACGUGCCAGCCAUAUGUUUCCGAAAUCUGUCUUUCUGUUUGAUCACUUUUUUUGAGAUUUAGUAGACUUAGUCUCAGUCUGAGUCGAUUAAGAUCCAGAAACUAUUUUUUUCUUACAGUCUUCAUUCUUGGCUCUGAUUCCUUGCUUCACUUUAUAAUAUCUCCAAAUCUUUGGAGCACCAAUCAAGCCCUUCAAGAUCCUCAACACCUGUACCUUAAGCCCGUGGAGAGUUACAUGUCCUUCAUCUUGGGACCACUCUUGUCCUAGCUCUUAGAACCACACCUAUCUUAAUCUUUCAGAGCCAAUCCUUUGACUCUUCUUGUGAUCUUUCAAGACUUGGGAGUACCAUACCAACUCCUACAUGUGUAUGUGUGUGCAUUGAUAUAAGAGAAAGGAAGAUCUUGUUGAGGAUGUUGACUGAUAUGCAGUGAGCGAGUGAGUGAGAGUAUGUGUAAUAUUUAUUUUUUCUUUCUUUCCAUGGUUGCAUAUUUGUUAGUCUUAAUUCUCAAAAAAGGAGGAGAAGGAGAACAGUGCCAUUCGAAUAUUUUGAAGCAUAACCAUGUGGAUUUGAUGCUGAUGAUUAUCUGACUUUAUGCUAGCUACCAUAUAUAAUAGGUUGCACCACAGCAUGAUGAUUCGAUGCAUGGUUUAUGCUUCAUUGUGACUUGACGCUCUUUAAAUUGUUUGCUCCAUGUUUAAUGUAAUAGUCACAACCUUCUGUUAUCCAUUCAUUAUCAUCAAACUUCUACCACCAUUAAUAACUCUGUCGAUAUUUGUGGUCAUCAAUUGAAACACCAACUGAUUGUCGUUGAUGAUUGUUUUAGAAUUAUACAAGCACCACAAGGAUAUUGUAUCACUUGCAUAUAUAGCUAUGGGGCCGUCGUAGUCCUUAUCUUUGUAUUUCUUUAAUUGCCUUACUUUUGCUUCAAGGGCUGCUGGAAUUUAAGUAAGGCUCACUUUCUGCUUGACAAUAUGGCUUCCAACCAUAUCCAUGUUUUUUAGUCCAAAGAAACUGCAUAACGUGAUACGAGAUCCUCAUCGAUCCAUUGUGGCCUCUUGCGACCCUCAUCCAUUAUAGCCGGCCACUCGAUGACGACCCCCACGCCACUCACACUACCAAAUCUUCUCCCGUGGACCAUCCCCAUAACUAGGUAGCCGUAACGUCAAACAAAACAACAAACGAACAAACACCAGACUCCAGACCCCUCUCUCUCUCUUUUUUGAGGUAAACUACAGACCUCUCUCUCUCUCUCNNNNNNNNNNNNNNNNNNNNNNNNNNNNNNNNNNNNNNNNNNNNNNNNNNNNNNNNNNNNNNNNNNNNNNNNNNNNNNNNNNNNNNNNNNNNNNNNNNNNNNNNNNNNNNNNNNNNNNNNNNNNNNNNNNNNNNNNNNNNNNNNNNNNNNNNNNNNNNNNNNNNNNNNNNNNNNNNNNNNNNNNNNNNNNNNNNNNNNNNNNNNNNNNNNNNNNNNNNNNNNNNNNNNNNNNNNNNNNNNNNNNNNNNNNNNNNNNNNNNNNNNNNNNNNNNNNNNNNNNNNNNNNNNNNNNNNNNNNNNNNNNNNNNNNNNNNNNNNNNNNNNNNNNNNNNNNNNNNNNNNNNNNNNNNNNNNNNNNNNNNNNNNNNNNNNNNNNNNNNNNNNNNNNNNNNNNNNNNNNNNNNNNNNNNNNNNNNNNNNNNNNNNNNNNNNNNNNNNNNNNNNNNNNNNNNNNNNNNNNNNNNNNNNNNNNNNNNNNNNNNNNNNNNNNNNNNNNNNNNNNNNNNNNNNNNNNNNNNNNNNNNNNNNNNNNNNNNNNNNNNNNNNNNNNNNNNNNNNNNNNNNNNNNNNNNNNNNNNNNNNNNNNNNNNNNNNNNNNNNNNNNNNNNNNNNNNNNNNNNNNNNNNNNNNNNNNNNNNNNNNNNNNNNNNNNNNNNNNNNNNNNNNNNNNNNNNNNNNNNNNNNNNNNNNNNNNNNNNNNNNNNNNNNNNNNNNNNNNNNNNNNNNNNNNNNNNNNNNNNNNNNNNNNNNNNNNNNNNNNNNNNNNNNNNNNNNNNNNNCUCUCUCUCUCUCUACCUUUCUCGGCCUUUUGGCUAAGAUCAAGUGUCUGACGCCUCUCUCUCUCUCUCUCUUCGUGCCUUUGGCGUUCCGUUAGGGAGGCCGCCUGCCACUCGGCCGUGCCUUUGUCUUUUUUUAUGGUCUUCCCACAUUUUAUUACCACAAAAGUAGGCAACAAAUGUUCAUUGUACACAUGCCGGUUUUCUCUCGAUCGUGGGGGUCCCCCUCAGCCCGCCCGCCCGCUUCCGAUGGUGUGUUCACACCAACAAACUGCCAACGCUCGUUGCCCGGGACUCGGAUUUUUAGCUCUGAGUGCAAGCUUGGGUGAGAUCGAUUGAACAUGACCCAGAAAGGAGGGAAGCUCAUCCUAAACUGCCCAGAAAGGAGGGACCACGGUAGGUCCCAUGCAUGUCUUUGCUCCAUUUCCCGCAUCCAAAUAUGGGAGGUACGUUGUGGUGCACUGAUACCUGAAUGCCAUUCAUCUCAACCAUCUUAGAAUUCGAUUGCUUUGCGGAAAGAAUAGAAUUCACUUAAAUAUUUUUUUGAAAAUAACUGAUAUAUGGAUAUAUAAUAUCUGAAAAAUAAUAAUUUUUAUAUAUUUGAUUGAUCAUAAAAAAAUAUAGUAUUCUAAAGCUGCUUAUAUUUGGUUGACCAUAUAUUGUAUUAGAAAAGUUGAAUAAAAUACAUGUUAUACCCUUAAUAAAAAAAAAAAUCUGAUCAUAUUCUAUUUAAAAGCUUAAAUGUGUUUUUGAAAAAAACAAAAACUAUCACAAUUCCCAGUCGGAGGGAAUUAUUCUGAUCACAUGAUGUUUUUUCAUAAAUAUAAAAAUUUUAUUAUCACAUGAAAGCUACUUUUCCAGCUCUUUUUUUAAAAACUCUAACCAAAUAUGCGGUAUUUCUACAUUUUUUCAUUGACCAUAUUUCCCUCCUCCUACGAAUCAAACAGUCCUUAGUGCAAAAUAUAAUUUGGUCUCAUUCAAAUAUAUAUCUAACUGCUGCUUCCAACCGGAAGUCUGAAAAUAUCUUAAAAAAGCAACGAGAGCUUGGCCCUAAUUACAAUGGGUAAAAGAGGUCUUAAAUUUGAAUCCUAUCGCAUUCCUCAGCCUACCAUUUGAUAACAUCCAUUAAACAAUAUUGCGAGAGAUGCAACAGUGUUGGUUUUAUUCUGUGUUUCAGCAUGUACGUCGUUAUUUAAAAUUGAUUUCAUGCUUGAUGGAGAAUGAAGUUGUAAGCCAAGAUAGGGCAAUGACAUGUUCCAAGAUGGCCAAUUACCAUGACUCGAAUGCACCAAGGACAAGUUCUGGUUCCUAUAAACAAGGCUUAACGCAGAGGUAGUAACAAGUUGGGCAUCGUUGUAUCCAACUAAGCGGCUCACUUAAUUAGAAAAAGAAGAUUUUUAAUGUGCNNNNNNNNNNNNNNNNNNNNNNNNNNNNNNNNNNNNNNNNNNNNNNNNNNNNNNNNNNNNNNNNNNNNNNNNNNNNNNNNNNNNNNNNNNNNNNNNNNNNNNNNNNNNNNNNNNNNNNNNNNNNNNNNNNNNNNNNNNNNNNNNNNNNNNNNNNNNNNNNNNNNNNNNNNNNNNNNNNNNNNNNNNNNNNNNNNNNNNNNNNNNNNNNNNNNNNNNNNNNNNNNNNNNNNNNNNNNNNNNNNNNNNNNNNNNNNNNNNNNNNNNNNNNNNNNNNNNNNNNNNNNNNNNNNNNNNNNNNNNNNNNNNNNNNNNNNNNNNNNNNNNNNNNNNNNNNNNNNNNNNNNNNNNNNNNNNNNNNNNNNNNNNNNNNNNNNNNNNNNNNNNNNNNNNNNNNNNNNNNNNNNNNNNNNNNNNNNNNNNNNNNNNNNNNNNNNNNNNNNNNNNNNNNNNNNNNNNNNNNNNNNNNNNNNNNNNNAACACAUCAUCAUAUGAUGACUUAAGAGUAAAGUCGCGACGGCUUUGCUUUUUCCACCCCACGCUUGCAUACCACGGAUGAUGCAUGAAUGAUUAUGCUAAUCCAAAGCCUUAAGUCACUUGGUUACGACUAGGUCAGCAACAACUUGAAGAGAUCUUCAUACUUUUAUCCAUAUUUUUUAUUUGAAUUGGAUAGAACCAGGUGGUUGGUAGGCUUCAUACAGAAAAAAGAGGUUGCUCGUGCUCUUAGUUUACUAGCCAGCGUUAGCUGUAACCAUAAUGCUUCCACUAGUCACUUCAUGGAAGAAAGGAAGAUUCGUUGAUAUAUAAUUAAACCAUAGGAAGUGUGUUGUGGUACCCAUCAUAUCAAUGGACCCUGAUUGAUUUUCUUUGGGAGGUCUAUUUUUCGGUUAGAUGGUUGGCAAUUGAGCUAAUGAUAAGUACUGGCUCAGAGUUCCAUUAAAUUGUUUCCAGUCAAAAGUUUAAUAACAUGCUAAAAAGAUAUGAUAAGAAGUGGAGAAGACUUUCAUAGUCAGUUUGCCUAUUCUACUGAAUAGUUGGAGAUGAUUAACCUAAUCAGCAAACUUCUCUGCUUCAUCUUCAGAUGAGGAGACUGACUUGGAUGGCUUCUGAGAAACUAUUAUAUGUUAAUUCAAGCUUUUUCUUUCCCCAUAUUUUCACCCAAUGGUCGUCUAAAUAGUUUAUAUAACCAGAAUUUUCAUUGUCAUACGAAACUGUAUGAGAAUUAUCAUGUGAAUUUUGAGGAUUCACCAUUUUUCCAUGUUUUUAUUUUUUCUUUUUAUAAUGACAACAAGGCAUUUAACAUCCAUUUAACUGGAAGGAAAUAUUCAAAAGUUGGUAGAGCAUUUUGGAAAAAAUUUUCCUUCCACAAACACCCUUAUUUCAUCUUUAUUUUCUGAAAACAAUUAGCCCACCACGAGAGCUCACAGGCUUGUUAAAUUGUGUCUAAACAAUGUCAAAUAGCAAUAGACCAUGUCUUGUGCCAAUCUGAGUUAUUGGAGGAGAAAAAAAACUACAGGGCGCUCUCUAUGGAUUUGAGUUGUAUCUUUCACGUGAAAGAAUGACCCACCUUCUUUCACCACGUGUAGCUUUGCACAUCCAUAGAAGCACUCUAAUCUCCCUUAUCCAUCUAUCCGCACAGAUCUCAAAAUGAUUAUUGCACGAUCCAAUAGUUAACAUCAUGAAAGAAGAUCAAUCAAUCAUUCUAAAGAUACAAUGUGAGCCCAUUUCCCAUUGGCAUGCUGGUCUUCAUCAUAACAUAUCUAAAACCGAACAACGAUGUGACUUGGCUUUCUACAACUACCAUAGGUACAUCAAACUGCCUUUUUACCGAGGCUACUUUGCCUUCCAUUUUCCUUCCUUGGGAGUGCAAUACCUUUUGGCUUAGCUUGAGCUAAUGCUCCACCUUGACUUGUAUCAAUAAAGUGACUUAUUAUCUCAACUGAUAGAAUCCAAGAUGUCAGCCGACUCACAUUGAUCAAUAUUUUUCAAUUAUUUUUUACUUCCUCAAACAAGCUUUUAACUACUAGACCUCCAAAUCAAUACUUAUGGUUAAUCUUGGAUUUACCGUAAAACUCAAGAUUUCGAUAUCUUGAUCUGAAAAUAGAGCAAGAUCUUGGAAAAUCUUGAUUCCACUAAAUUAUCUCAGCCGAGAUAAAUUGACAUAAUGAGUCAUCAUGGUCACUUUCAUCAAGAUAAUUGAUGCAUCGAGACUUUAAAAUCUUGGUUAUACUUCUCUCUCAAUCGUGCCCCAAGUGAUUAUAUAAUAUCAAGAAGCAGUCUCCCGAUGAUAAUAUAACGAAUAGGAUCCUUUGAUUGGCCUCCCUCCUAUCCCUCCUUUUUAAUAAGAACAUUUAAAAAAAGGCUGAAUAAAGACAUCCAAGUGGCCCAUGAGAUUCUGGAUGAAACUUAAGCCUUAAUGGCCGCCACAAGCAUAGAACAUUAUCAGUUUAUCACCCAUCAAGUUAUAUUGUUCAGAUUGGAAUAACUUUUAUAAGAUUUUAAAAGCACCAAAAGAUGUCACGAGGUCCACGCCCUGCAAUGUUUGGACCCUAAGUUCAAGAUUCAGACCAAAUUCUAGCCCGUAUUUUAGAAAUUUGAGCUAAAGUUUUAAUCAGGAAGCUCAUUGACUCACAGGUAGCACCAUCAUGAUCCCAUCCACCAUUUGUUGCCGUCAUUUUGAACGGAGAUGACUUCGAUGAGUGACACAAGUCCCACAAAUUAUAAGCUGAUAGCUACUGAGUGAUUUUCUAAAUUUUCAAAGACAUGACUCGACAAUCGAAACGACAUGCGUCCGAUUAGCAGUACUUGCAUAGGGGUAGCAUUAUCAAACCAUGCUACCUAGGUAGCAUUUAACUCGUGCCCCUUUUUUUUCUGACCCUUUGGAGGUCUUCUCCAGCAUGAGAUGAUACAUGACGCCCCCACUGUUAUUCCCACCCCACCCCGCCCCCCCCAAAAAAAAGAAAAAGAAAAAGGGAAACCAAGUCCUCAUUGUUCACUUUGUGGCUAUACAAUUUAGCUAUUGGACCUGGAUCUAAAUGCCUUCUAUGGAAACCUACUCGGGAAAUCUGGAAAAGAACCAUGAAUAGUAAUGAAAGGCCAGCAGGAAAUGGGAUAGAUACACGAGAUAAAAAAGAUGCAGUAGAAUUUGCAGCAUAUACAAAGAUUACUACAUAACUUUUAGGGUACAUCUGAUAUGACUGUAAAAAGCCUGGCCUUUGGUUGUUACUGUUUCAGUCACCAUGUUUAUAGGGGCACCACCAAUCAUUGAAUUGAUCAAAUGCCGGAAAGGCUAACCUGGAGAGCAUCCCUCAAUUUCUCUUGGUUUUCUUGAUAUGCCACCAUGGGUAUCAUUUCGCCAUCCUGGUUGUUGGAUGGUUCAGCCCCCUGGUCCAUCCAGUCCCAAAACCUGAACAUUUCCUUAUAGUUUCAAGUGUUAGCAAACAAUUUAUCAGGAGCAGCAGUGACAAGAAAUAUUAAUAUCUAAACAUAUUCUUCACAAAUGGAAGUCACAAAUUUGAUGAGUAGGUAGAUUGGCACCAGCAUGGACUGGCUAUUUUGAGCUGCAACAGACUAUCAUAUGUUUACAUCAAUGAUAUAUACAGGAAUUGCAUAAUGAAUAAGCUGUUCUCGUGCGAUGAACAAGACCACUUAUAUUUUGACUAUGGCUGCUCAUGUUAUUUUGCCUGUCCUUUUGAGGCUAAGUUCAAGGCUUUGAAAAAAUUGAUGAAAUCAAAACUUUGCCACUACCAUUACCAAAAGAGAAUGUACUAGAAUUUUAAGGCAAAAGAUGAUCUUCAGUGACAAGCUUAGAACCCAAAUCUGCAAUGGCCACAUAUAAAACAAGAGAAGAUAGAGGAUGUGCCGAGUGUUAUCACUUUUCUGUUUUGGGAAAAAGAAAAAUAUGCCAUAUGCCACAUAUGCACUUUUGAAUUCAGAUUCAGAUAGAGUGCACUUGUAAUAUCAUGAGCAGCUUCACCAAACAAUGUGUGAGAAUAUGAAAAGAAUGAACUUGAAUACAUGCAGCCCUCCAAUCAUAAAAAAAGCUGCAUGGCAUGGAAAGCUUUGAAACUUGUCCAUAGAUCUAGUUAAUGGAAUCUGGCAUUUAAGUAUACAUAUAUACCAGCAAUAAUGUGGAAGAUUACACAUAAGCUGAAACAAGGUCUGCAAAAGUAGAUCUAAUGCCACAUGCACCUGAAUUACCGAUGCAAGUUUAUCUUCCCACUUUCAGGCCUUCAGAAGAAACAAUCUAAACCAUCAAAUUGACAUGCCAAAUAUAAUUUGAGGGAAUAUCAAUCAUAGGGAAAAAAAACUUCUAGACUGGACAUAAUAUGAGCAGUUGACAUAAUAAAUGUUGGCAGGAGGAAACUAAAAAAUAUAAAAUAAAAUAAAAUGCACGAAUAACCCCUAUUAGCAUUAUCAAGAUUUAUUCUUCCACUGUAGAAGAAUAUAUUCAAGGGCCAAAGUCAGCAAACACACAAUUGCUGGGCAUUUUUUAAUUGAAGUAACACUUGGUGAUAUCCCUUGGCAUUGCAUAGUGCCAGAUAAUCCCAGCUUGACAGGAUACGGGGAUCUCAUCAUAGGAAUAAAGGUAAUAAAGGUGAUAUUAUUAUCUGAUCUUACUUAUCUUUGCAGCUUUAUGUUUAUAUCCACUGAUGGAUGCAUCAUCCAAUGACUGGUCCACAGUCAAACUAAACAACAUGUAACUUUUCUAAUGAUUAGGUCUUCUGAUAUGUAGGCAAAACACAUGGCUCAGGGUUCCUCAACUCUAAUUCCAAAAGUCAAUAGGCAUCUAUAAAGAGUUAAUGGGCCUAGGAAAAAAUUCAACAAGAAAUGUUUUUGAGACAUGCAGGAGCAGGGCUAUUUGAAUUGUCUAAAGAACAAAUUACAACAAAAUUUGCUUGUUGUGAUAUUGGUGCCUACUCUGGUGCAUAGAAUAUUUUGAAAUAACUGGUCUUCGUUUGUAUAAACAAAUUGCUGUCAAUAAAAAUCAAGUAACGAUGGAGAGAAAAACUUGGGAAAAAAACAUGCAAUGAGAAGAGAGCAUGCCUCUAUUUACAGAGUGAAGCAAGAAUGCGCCGAGGAGGAUCAAAUGAUCGCCGUGAGUGCAAAACAGCCAAGUUGUCCAACAGAAGGAUGUCUCCCCUCUUCCAAGGUAUAGCAACAGAUUCCUCUUCAAGGAUUUUUAAACAUUCAUCUAUAAUAUCAGCAGGCAAGGGUGUCCCAUCUCCAAAAGUAACUGCUUUGACAGGAUCAUUGCGAGCAUCCUUCCAACCAGUAUAAGCAGCCACCAUGCUAUUAAACCAUAUUUUUCGCCCUCUAGUUUCAUCAAGUUUGAUAGCUGGUAUUGGACCCAUUAUUGUUUUUACACCAUCCUCCAUCCAUUCCAACUUCAUCCCCAGUCGAGCAGCCCUAAUACAUUUGGAAACCACUGUAUCAAGAUCAAAUUCCAAUCUCAGUGAGCAUGAUAUCUUGAAGAACAUACAAUGUAGUGUCCGGAAGAAUAUGUAGGAAAUCUGUCAUCCAUAUGACCACUUGAGGAUUAAAAUGACAAAGAAGGCAUACAGAUCUGUCAUCCAGUAGAAAGGACAUAAUGCAUGUGGGAAAUACUCCAAAGACAAUUUGCAAUGCCACUCAAAAAAUUUUCUGGAUUUCAGCUUUGUGUCUGACUUUGAUCUCUCAAUUGAAGUCAAGGGAAGAGAUUCAAAGAACCAAUCUGAGCUGAAGGUUUCCAGUUUCCUUGGUUUUGCUAAUGUAAUGCAUAAUGCCUUAAUAUUUGUGAGCAUCAGAAGCAUAAUCUAUUUUUGGAAAUGAUUUAAAAACGAGUCAGUUAAGGUCACUAUAUUUUCAUGAAACAAAGAUUUUGUUAGUCGUCUCAACUUUCAACAUGGUUGGAGUUAACCCCUCACCCCCCUUAUUUCUAUGGAGUCGGCACAUACACUCGCCAUGGAACAAGUUGUGCAGUGCAUUUAUAUAAAUUUAGUACACAUGAUUAAAUGGGUUAUGUAGGAUUUCUUCUCCUAAGACCUAUAUAAUACCAAGCAGGAAUGAAUUGAUCAAGAUAAAACUGUUGCUCUUUAUCCGUGCAGUUGUAUUGGUAGGUAGCAACUAGUGGUUAGCAUUUCUCGUAUGUGCUAUAAGAAAUCUAAACAUCCGAUUGAACUGAACCUAUGCUUAGCCGGGCAUGCUCAAAUUGCAAUAUGUUAUUUCGGGUUAAUCCCCCAGAUCCAAUUAUUUUCUCCUCUAACUUCUUUGCAACCCAAAAGAACAAAAUUCAUAAGACCAAAGGUCAAACAUGACUUAAAUCAAGGAAUAAUCCAAUAUUCAAAUAGGUAAACACAGUUUUUAGUUAUCUUUUAGUUUUCUUGGUUCUAUCAUGGUUGUAUUAAUGAGUUGCAGUUUAUGCAUAUUAUUAAAAGUGGUCCCAUUUACUUGGCUAAUGUUGCACAAUAUGCGCUUUAUUUAGAUUCAAAAACAUGCUUUUCUUGUUACAAGUUCUAGACAACCUUCAUAUACACAUAAACCAAAAACACGGGUUAUUACUGUGCACCAUCGGUUUGUGAGCCACCAUAAGUUUAUGCACUUCCAUGACUAUCAGUUUAUGCAAUUCCAGACCACUACAUACAGUUGAUUCAACAAUCGCUAAUAAAAAUCAUACACCAUGCAAGUGGUAAAUAGAACUAAGUCUUUUUUUUUUUGCGAGAACUAAAACUAAGUUAUUAAACAUUAUGCAGCACCAUAUAAAUAUUGAGAGAGAAAGAGAGGGAACUAUUGAAUCAAAACCAAUGUAACUUAAACCAUAUAAAUUAUCAUCCAUGAUAAGAUGAAUAAACCACCGAAACUACCAUAUCUAAGCAAUAGGAAUAAAUGGCGAACCUCUCCUCAGCUAUGCUUUUGUCUUUGGUCAAGAACGUCGACUGCCAUCCACGGCCGAUUGGAGAAGAAGGGUCAUCUCCCUCCCCUAAUAUUCUUGUGUAUAUUAGACCAUGCUUCUCCAAUUUUUCCACAAAUUCUGGGUAUCUGGCCUUCAUCCUUUCAUAAACAUAGUGGCUCAACACGAUAGGAGUCUCGCCACCACUUCUUGGCUCCUCCUCACAAAAGAAGAACAAUUUCGACGGAAACUCAGGAACCUGAUGGAACAAAGUAACUAUUCUAUUACAAAUAUGUGGUUUUAACUUCUGAUAACGUCGCAAUUACAAGGAUGGAAGCAUAGAUAGGGAUUAGAGGAACUAAACCUGGGCCAUCUCGUGGUGGAAGGGGAUGGGCUGGUCGGGAGGGGACUCGUUGGCGGUGAAGACCCGACCGACGACGUUGGUCCGGGGGGCGGCGCCGCCGACGUAGGGCAGCUCCUCGUAGCCGAAGGCUUCCACGGCCCGGUCGAAGUCGGCGGCAGUACGGACCGGGUAGCCCCGCAGUAGGAGCGCCCCGCUCGACCGGAGGAGCGCCUCCAGCUGGGGCUUGUGGCCCUUCACGGCCUCCGUGAACUGGCGGAGGUCGAGUUCGACGGCCGCCUUCGGGGACACGACUGCGGGAAAAAGAACCCCUCCAACGUUCUUCCGCUGCGGGAUUGGGGUUUCCAGGAACAAAUCUGCGGCUCCGGCCAUUGGUUUAUGUUCGGCUCUUCUUUGCUGGGGUGGGGGGCAGGGGAGGGUAGGAGGGAACACCCAAAAGCCGGAGCCGACGUUAUCCUUGGAAACGAAAUAUCUCAAGCGAAAUUCUUUCUGCACCGCGGUGCAGAAAACCCGACGUGGAAUGCACCGUCUCGUCCGCUUGAUCCAUACUGUCACCACCGCCCAGUGCGUAGAUUGAUUUUUUAUUUAAAAAUUUUAUAUGAUAAGAUUAUUUUAUUUUAAAAAAAUUAUAAUAUUUAUUAUUUAUUAUUAUAAUAUUUUAUUGCUCUAUAAUAUGUNNNNNNNNNNNNNNNNNNNNAUAUUUUAUUUUAUUUUAUUUUAUUUUUUUACGUAAUUUACAAGCAAUGUUUUUCCAAUGAGGGACCUAUACCUAUACGUAAUUUUUCCUGCCUUAAGUUGAUUUGUCGGCUACGGUGCUUUCAUAAGUGGCGUCAGCGAAACGCGACUGCUUCGCUCAGGCGAUGUAAGUGCCAGGGGGAGGGGAAAUUAUUGGGAGGGGUCUUCUUCGUCUUUCUUUCUUGGAGGCGCGGUGGCGAUGGCGGCGGAGGAGAGGCUGAGCAUCUACCGUGCGACGAGGAUCAUAAAGAAGAGGGAGAACUCCCGCCUCUACAACGCCCUCCGCUCCAUCUACGAGGAUUCCAUCUUCAUCGCAGAGAUCGCCGGGCUCUGGCGGGACCUCCCCCUCCUCGCCAACCUCCGUUGCGGCCUCUGGUACUCCCCCCGAUUCGAAGCCACCUGCUACUUUAAGUCCACCGAUGGCCAUACCAACAACUGGUCCUUCAACACCUCGCGACUCAACCUCCAUGUGGCCCAACUCGCUGGUAAUUCAAAUCCAUCGCUACUUCAUUUUUCCCCAAUAAAUAGCGGAAUUCGUUGUUAUUCUUGUAUUCUAGAUGGAUUUCUUGGAAAUCUAGGUGUUCUUGUGUCUUUGAUUGGAUUGUGAUGGUUUUCUUUUGGAAUAUUGGGCUCUUCAUAAAAAGAGGGAAUCGGAGGGAGAUCAAGACUCUUUUUGGGUUAGGGCAUCAAAAAUCUUGUGCAGUUUUUAGUNNNNNNNNNNNNNNNNNNNNNNNNNNNNNNNNNNNNNNNNNNNNNNNNNNNNNNNNNNNNNNNNNNNNNNNNNNNNNNNNNNNNNNNNNNNNNNNNNNNNNNNNNNNNNNNNNNNNNNNNNNNNNNNNNNNNNNNNNNNNNNNNNNNNNNNUGAAAUUUGUAUGCUAGAUAGAGGACCUCAGUUCAUUUUCUUGUGAUUUUGCUGUUUAUGACGGGUAGGGCAGCGAGGAGGGUGUAUUAUAGUGGAUUCCACCCGUAGAGGGAAACGGUUUCCAGAUAGCAUGUCGAAGACAAUACCCAUAUGGACGUGUUUGUUAAACCGAGCAGUCAAGAAUUGUUUGCUGAGAAUGUCCGCGGAAAGCCAAAGAGAUGGUGAAUCGGUGAGUGUAGAUUAUUAUAAACUGGAUUCUUGAUUUAAUGUUCCUUCAUGUUUUAUUUUCAUUUUUAAACUGUUGAAACAGAACUGCACUCAGAUUCUCAGAAGCAUAAUUAGCUCGUUUUUGGCAUUGGUUUUAGAUUAAGUAACUUCCUCAAGGUUUACACAAGCUUGGUUCUUUUAUAUGCUGUUGUGCCUGUUUUAUCGUGUAUCUAAUAUAUGACUUAUGGUACGAGUCACUUUGAAUGCCAUUAACAUGCAGAUCUAUUGUUUCAUGACUCUACUAUAGCACUUCAGAUGAUAAGUGUUAAUUCCUAUAUUCGUUUUUUAUAAUUUCCCAAAUUUUUAAUGGUCCCCAUGAAUUGGAUGUCUUUUAUUAUAUCACUAUUCUCAUACUUUUUGGAGGUUCUCAUAAAUGAAGUAACUUGAGCAUCAUCUAAUCCUCAAAACCAUGGAAUGCUGUCAUGGUAUUGGACCCCAUUCUGGUACCAUUCUAUUAUAUUGUUGGGACAUUUGGUAUAGGCUGGUUCAGUGUACCGAGUAUUGGUAUGCCCUCCAUACUGCAUAUUAGUUCAGUACCGGUAUGGUACGAUGCGGUUGAUAUGCAUGGUUAUUGAUCGGUAUGGCAAACCUUGCUCAAAACUUGUGAAAGUAGUGAAAACCGGUAUCACUUUAUAAGAAGGGGAAAAAUGCAAAGAAAAAAAUGUUGCUCAUAUAAAUUAUGAAUCUCUGUGAAAAUCUGUCCAAUUAUAAUAAUUAUAGUAUCUUUUGCAAUUCAUUCUGUUAGUGUCUAUAUAAAGGCAUACUUUCCAAUAAUUAUUAUUAUUUUGUAGCAGUCAAACUGUUCACCUAAUGAAACGGCAGAUGUGAGGCUACUCUCUGAUGAUUGGGAUAGCUCUUUGCAUCUUCCGCUAUGGGUCCCAGAUAUUGAGAAGGCAGCUAUAGAGGGACACAUUGAAGAAUGGACCAAACAGUUGGAAGCUUGUGGUGCUGAUAUUCAUUCUCUUGCAUCAAUCAUAAGAAAACCCCUGCGCCCCUUGUGGAUUUCUCAAAAGACUCUCAUCUGGCUGAAUGAAGUUCCCGACUGUAAUUCUUGGGACUUCACACCCAUCAUCCUCGUUUCAGCAUCUGCUUCAGAUGGAAUAGCUCAGCAAAGAUCCAUGUCACAAUUCAGCUGGCAUUAUAUUCCUGGAGCAGGAGAUGAUGAAGAGAGCUGGGCGCGGGGUCUAUCACCUAAUCUAUUUUGGAAGCAUACAUUUGAGCUGAUAGAUUCUGGUCCCGAUCUCUGCAAUCAACAAGUUGCUGAACUAGUUGAAAAGGAAAGGGUAUAUCGAGCACAAAGGGGUGAAUAUUCACCUCAAGUUACUGUCAAGCUGCAUCAGAAAUUCUCAGGAAACAACCAUUCCAAUAUUAAUGGAGAAUCUAUUAAUUCUCGUCAGUUAAUGGGCUCUAAAAUUUUCAUCAAUUCCAUGAAUACAACAUCUUCUGAUGAAAGGCAUCCCAUCUUUUGGCUUGGCUCAACAAAUCUUGCAGUGGCAGCGACCUUACAUGGUAUGGUAUGCCUUUCCUUGGUCUUUUAUCUUGUAGAAAGCACAUGAAUAUGCACAUAUUUCUGAUGUUCAUUUCUUUAAUUUUGCUAAAUUUCCUUUGGAUUUAUAAGCCCUGAGGCUGCGAAGAUUCACCUCUAUAGGCAGUAUGGUUGGCAUUUGAGCCAGAUCUGUACUUUUAGUUCGAAACUGCAUGGGCUCAGAGAUGUCACAUCACUGCUUGGUUUGAGUUUGACUUUAAGCUCAGGCGAAUUUAGAUUUGAAUGUUCUAAAGUGUACCUGCAAAUCCUAACGUACACAACCAGACAACCCCCUACUUUCACCAAAAAGAAAAUCCCAACCCCCAACCAGAUGCACAGAUGCUCAGGCACGAUACAGGCAUAUGUAUUUAAGCAUAUGUAUUUUUCCUUGGUUUGGGAAUAUGAUAUAUAGGGGUGGAUCGAGCUAAUAGGCCCAUAUCAUCAUACCUUUUCAGUAAAAUUGUUUAAGCAUCUGCAGCCAAGGAAAAAUCCUCAGCUGGGACAUUCUUCAAGGUUUGAAAGUCUAAUGAUGAAAAGGGAAAAUGCAACAUUUAGGCAAUGGGUUGUACACAUUUUAAAAAAAUCUAGCUAAAUAGAAUAUGGCUUUAGAACUUAUCAUAUUAAACAUUUUUUUAAUUAUUAUUAUUAUUAUUAUUAUUAUUAUUAUUAUUAUUAUUAUUAUUAUUAUUAUUAUUAUUAUUAUUAUUUAUUUAUUUUUAACUGCCGUUCCCUUGUAUACCCUUCUUCUCUCGGUUUUAAUCUCGAUAUCUAGAACCAGAACUCUGAACGUCACCUAUAAUGACAUUGGCAACCACCAAUCACAGCUCCCAGUCCAUCUCCCACUUCAUCUGUGUUGUUCUUGGUUUUUUUUUUUGAGAGUUGCUACGUUAGAUAGAGACUCAUAGGAAGUGAGACAUGCUAUUGCUGGUUUGACUCUUAUAGGGUGGUGGUGGUGGUGGAACAAACUUAUAUCUUGGUCUUUUCCCUCUUCUUAGGAGAGCAUGGGAUAUUAUCAACCAUGCAUUUACUAGUAUGCUUGAUUAUUUGGAGACCACUGUGGUUUUCUCUAACCAGGGAAUAAGAAAUAAGAGUGAGAUGGGCUGCCAGUCAGCGGUCUGGCCAUGAUGCCUUCUUUGGUCAAAGUUUCUCUUUCAGGGAUUUAUUUGCUUUGUGUUUUAAGGGUGAAGGGAUUCUGUGGGAUUGGUAUUUAUGCUGUGCUUCCUUAUCACUCUCUUUGACUGGACCUGUGUAAGUCGAAUUUGAAGAGUUUUUUUAAUUAAAAAAAAUCAUUUGGGAACUUGAAGGAUCAAGGAAAUAGUAUUUGAGGAUUGAACAUGCAUCGAUGCGGACCACUUUUAUGUGUAUAGAAGUGUGAAAUCUUGAUAACUAAUAUUGCAAAAUCAGUUACAAAGAAAUGGAGAAAAUCAUGAGUUUUCAUGUAUGAGCAGCCAAAUGCAAACCAUGUUUUUUUUGAACAACCUAUGUUGUCUUCACCUUCAUUCUACUUCUUCAGUUAAUGCUAUAUAUAUUGCAUUUUUUCCUUAGGAUACGAGGUUCAUCUUUAUUUGGCAAUUCACUGUAUGCUUUGUUAUGCAGUUCCAGAUGUGCUUGAUGAUGUUGACUGUGUGCUGAACUGCAACAGCAAAUUCAAAUCAUUUUGCCUUCCAUGCGCUGAUUCCUACUUGCAUCUACCUAUGGUGGUAAGUGACAGGAACUAAAGUUCAUUAUUCUGAAAGGACCUUAAUUCUAAUUUGUACUUUUUAAUAGUUUAGUGUAUCGUCAACUUGUUUUCCUUAAAAUAAUUUUUGGCAGACUUCAAAAGAGGAUCGGUUUUCCUUGAUUAACAACCUCCCGUCAGCAGUUGGAUUUGCCAAGUUAAACUUGAGUAGAGGAAAGAAGAUGCUAGUUUGUUGUCAUAAUGGUAGUUUAAAGAACAAGUUGUUGUGAUUACUGUACUGGAUAUUGAACUGGUCCAUUGAAAAUCCUGUAAUUAUCUUACUUAUCUUAUGUACUUUAACUGCAGGGGAAGAUAUUAGCAUAUGUGUGUGCCUUGCUAUUUUGUCAUCCCUAUUUGACGAAGGAGGUAUGCCAGUUAUUUUUGUUUAAUACCUGGAGUAUAUAUGUUCCAUAAUUCAUGGGCACUUCAAGUAAUUAUAUAUUAUUAUUAUUUUAGUGAUAUCCUGAUAUGUUUAUGGGAAUGGGAACUUUAUUUAUUUAUUUGUUUGUUUGUUUAUGAUCUUGGGCUGCUUGCAUAUAAACAGCUAUUACCAUUGUUGAUGGCAAGCUGGUUGUUUCUAAUUUAAAGUUGUUACUACAAGUCAUUUAGCUGCAUUUACAUUUAUAAGCACAUUUACAUUUAUUAUAUGUUUAUUUAUUGUGUACUUGUAAACAAAGGGUAAGUCUUGGUGCAAUAGUAAGAUUGCUCCAUUAUGACCUGGAGGUCAUGGAUUUGAAAUGUGUAAACAACCUCUCCACACAUGGGGGUAAGAUUGCGUAUAUUUGACUCUUCAUAUACCUCACUAUGGUGGAAACCUAAUUCACCAGGCCACUCUUUUUAUUGUGCAUUUGUAUGCAUUGAGUUAUUUAUGCUAUUCUAUCAGAAGAAUGAGUGAGUUAGUGUGUGUGUGUGUGUGUGUGUGUGUCUCUCUCUCUCUCUAUGUAUAUAUGUAUGUAUGUAUGUAUGAGAUUUUAUAAACUUAUAUUCAAUUUCUAAACAUUUAGCAUGUUAAGCUGUUCUUUCUUUCCAAUCUUAUAACAUCAGUAUAAUUAAAAAACUGUUUCAGCAAUCAUUCUCAUAUUUAAUAGCAUGAUUACAAUUAUUUUUUAAGUAACUUCUAAUUUGCAUGAUUUGUGUCAUUUAUAGAUCCUGAAGGGGAUCGGGGAUUAAUCCAGGGAUGCAAAAUUGCAAACAAAUAGAGUCACAUUAAACCCAAAGUUGAUCCAACCAAGAAAGGGUCUUAUCCAAACCCAAUUUUGGACACAUGAGUUGGUUCUUGACAGCUUUUGACAGUUUGGAUGACUGUGGUAUAGUCUUCUUGUUUAUGGUGUGGCUUCUUGAAUCUCGUCUUGUUUGUUGUUUUCAUCCCCUAGAGUGACCUGAUGUAUAUCAUCUAGGGGUCUCUUCUUGUUGUGGUCCCCCCACCUCCUCCUUCGCCCAAGAGAAAAGAGAGGGAGGGGGGGGGGGGGGCGGGGGUGGGUGUGGAAGACAAGAAAAAAAGUACCUUUUCUUGGAUCAUUGGGCUGCAAUGCAUCCUUUUUGAGAAGCCUACUUUCUGCAGUUCAUAUAAGAAUGAUUAAGCUAACAUGAAUAACUACCUUUGAGAUCUCCUUUCAUGACUUUUGUUUGUUCAGACAUGCACGGCAAUUUAUCUUCCUAACACAAGCACAUUUCUGCUAGUUUCAUAUAUUUGUUUCUCACUUGGGUCAAUGAUUGUUCAAAACACAGUCAAUUGAAGAAAUUUCUUGCUUCACAUCUGGCACACAUGUAUACAUAUACUGUGAAGUAUGAACAGCACAUAGAUAAGCAUCCUCAGAAACUACUUUGAAUGAGCUCACAUUGAAAAAGGAUCCUGUGAAGCAGCUUGGGCACUCUGAAGUGUGCAGCUACGAGUUGCUGCUGCAGUAUCCUAUACAUUUCUUCUAACUAAAUCAAAUGUGCAGUGGGUAUCAUUAAUGGUACAAGACCCUAGGGUGUAGGAUCUAGAUAAUGUGAGAGCAAGCUUAAUAUAGAGCUUAAGGUAUUCUAUCAGUACUUGAAUUUUAUGAAUCUCAGAGUUGUAGGCCAAUGCAAUGUAAGUUGUAGGGCAACACAUUAUGCUUGGGGCAAUUCAUGGAAAUAAUGCUGAUAGUUAGAGCUCCCACCAGUUGCUUUGCAGCAUAAUGUGAGAGAAAAGAACUUGGUUUUAUCCUCAUUUAACAGCUAUGGCUUGAUUCAUUUUGGUGAAUUAAUUAUUAGGUAUUCUCUCCACAGCCAUCAGAAACCUCUCUAGCUCAAAAGGUAGGAUUGUGCUCUUCGGUGACAACCACGUGCUGAGAUUACCAUCAUUUGACUAUGGAGUUGAAGUGUCAUUCGUUGUGCCUUAUAUGCCUGCUGAUGGACAUGUUAAACUUUUCAUUUUAGGAUAGACUGAAAUAACUUAAUAUUGUUCACAUAUGAUUAGAAAUUUGAAUUUUUUAUUCUUGUUGGUAUAUGUUGCAGUGCUUAAAAAGGAAGCUAUAAUAUGCGGGUGAUCAAGUGCAUAUAUGGCAUGGGAGCUACAUUUAUAAUAUGCAGGUGAUCAAGUUCAUAUAUGGCAUGGGUGCUGCAUAUGGAGGCGCAUAUGCAGUUAGUAAUUUUAUAAAGGGUAGUGACGAAGGCUAAAUAUGUAGUAUAUGAAAAUUUAUGUGACAGGAUGGGGCAACAGAAGGUGAGAAAGAAAUUUACAAAAUAGUUAAAUUUAUAGAAAGGAAAGCUAUGGAUAUUGAUCGACUUAGAUGUAUCCAAAAGUGAGGAUAAUAGGAUAUUAGUAAAAUAUGAGAAAAUCAAAUAAAGAUAAUUUGUUAUUUUGAAAAAAAUGUUAAACAAGGUUUCUACAUAAGAAAUCUAUAUCGAAAAAGCAUAAUCAGGAAAAGUCAGUGUUCUAUUCAUACAAUUGGAAAUAAUUGAGUUAGCUUUGAAAAAAGUAAAGUGGAGAUAGCUUUGAAAAAGAAAAUGCAAAAAGGUAAGGCGUUAGAGUCAGAUGAAAUACCUAUUGAGGUUUGGAAAAUUAUGGAAGAUAUUGGUUAGAUUGGCUUACCAACCUAUUUAAUGAAGUUAUGAGAACUAAGAAAAUACCACAUGAGUGG
rnacentral:lncRNA from 1 species